rnacentral:rRNA from 1 species
AUGUGUAUCUCUCGAGAUGUGACUUUUGAAGAGUCUCGUCCCUUCUACCCACGCCCAUCUUCCUCGACUUUUUCAGUGCAGGAUAUCUCUUUCCUCACUUUUCCUGACUCACCUAUCACUCCCGCCGAGACUGUACCUCUCCGUUCCACUUCCUCUCCUUCUCCACAUCUAGUUGAUUUGCAGCCACCAUCAUCCCCGGUCUCCUCGCCUCGCAUGUCACCGGGUUCUCCACCUUCAUCUCCGGUGACUUCCUCCCCGGUCUCCUCUCCCAGCCUGUCACCGGAUUCUACACCUUCAUCUCCGGUGACUUCUUCGUCGCCACCCCCUGAUUCUACCUUGCCGAUUCCCCCUUCUAUUAUUCCAUCUUUUCCUCAGCAUUACACUCGUCGUCCACGACCAGUUGAUGCCUCUGUGGAUGGGUCGUCAUCUUCCUCUCAGCCUACUUAUGGCUUGCGUUCUCGUCCUCGUCCGCCUGUUGAUCGCUUUGGAUUUCCCACCGCUGGUGCUGCUGUUCUUGAGCCGACUUCUUACCGUCAGGCUUUUGUUCAUCCUGAAUGGCAGUUUGCGAUGGCAGAGGAGAUUGCUGCUCUUGAACGCACUGGUACCUAG